rnacentral:rRNA from 1 species
AGAGUUUGAUCAUGGCUCAGGACGAACGCUGGCGGCGUGCCUAACACAUGCAAGUCGAGCGAUGAAAUCCUUCGGGAUGGAUUAGCGGCGGACGGGUGAGUAACACGUGGGUAACCUGCCUCAAAGAGGGGAAUAGCCUUCCGAAAGGAAGAUUAAUACCGCAUAAUAUGUUUUGAUCGCAUGAUCGAGACAUCAAAGGAGUAAUCCGCUUUGAGAUGGACCCGCGGCGCAUUAGCUAGUUGGUGAGGUAACGGCUCACCAAGGCGACGAUGCGUAGCCGACCUGAGAGGGUGAUCGGCCACAUUGGAACUGAGACACGGUCCAGACUCCUACGGGAGGCAGCAGUGGGGAAUAUUGCGCAAUGGGGGAAACCCUGACGCAGCAACGCCGCGUGAAUGAUGAAGGCCUUCGGGUUGUAAAGUUCUGUCUUCUGGGACGAUAAUGACGUACCAGAGAG